AGAUUGAACGCUGGCGGCAUGCCUUACACAUGCAAGUCGAACGGCAGCACGGGAGCAAUCCUGGUGGCGAGUGGCGAACGGGUGAGUAAUACAUCGGGACGUGCCCAAUCGUGGGGGAUAACGCAGCGAAAGCUGUGCUAAUACCGCAUAAGAUCUACGGAUGAAAGCAGGGGAUCGCAAGACCUUGCGCGAAUGGAGCGGCCGAUGGCAGAUUAGGUAGUUGGUGAGGUAAAGGCUCACCAAGCCUUCGAUCUGUAGCUGGUCUGAGAGGACGACCAGCCACACUGGGACUGAGACACGGCCCAGACUCCUACGGGAGGCAGCAGUGGGGAAUUUUGGACAAUGGGCGAAAGCCUGAUCCAGCCAUGCCGCGUGCAGGAUGAAGCCUUCGGUUGUAAACGUGCUUUUGUACGGAACGAAAAGUACUCUUUCUAAUAAAGAAGGAGUCAUGACGUAACCGUAAGAAAUAAAGUACACCGGACGUAACUAACGUACG
rnacentral:rRNA from 1 species